rnacentral:rRNA from 1 species
GAUAGUUUACUAUUUUGGUGGCGACCGGCGCACGGGUGCGUAACGCGUAUGCAACCUACCUUAUACUGGAGUAUAGCCCGGAGAAAUCCGGAUUAAUCCUCCAUAGCACUGAUAAUUUGCAUAAUGAAUCAGUUAAAGUUUCGGCGGUAUAAGAUGGGCAUGCGUCCUAUUAGCUAGAUGGAGAGGUAACGGCUCACCAUGGCAACGAUAGGUAGGGGGCCUGAGAGGGUGGUCCCCCACACUGGUACUGAGACACGGACCAGACUCCUACGGGAGGCAGCAGUGAGGAAUAUUGGUCAAUGGGCGAAAGCCUGAACCAGCCAUGCCGCGUGCAGGAAGAAUGUCCUAUGGAUUGUAAACUGCUUUUAUUUGGGAAUAAACCUUUCUACGUGUAGAAAGCUGAAUGUACCAAAUGAAUAAGCACCGGCUAACUCCGUG